rnacentral:misc_RNA from 1 species
UUAAGUUCAGCGGGUAUCCCUACCUGAUCCGAGGUCAACCUUUGAAAGAUUUAACGGCCGCGGCCGCCCGCACUCCGAAGCGAUUAAUGAAAUCACAACGCUUAGAGACGGACAGCUCAGCCGGAGACUUUGAGGCGCGCGGAUUGACCGCGGCGCCCAAUACCAAGCCAGGCUUGAGUGGUGAAAUGACGCUCGAACAG